rnacentral:rRNA from 1 species
UAGGGAAUCUUCGGCAAUGGGGGGAACCCUGACCGAGCAACGCCGCGUGAGUGAAGAAGGUUUUCGGAUCGUAAAGCUCUGUUGUUAAGGAAGAACGAGUGUGAGAAUGGAAAGUUCAUGCUGUGACGGUACUUAACCAGAAAGGGACGGCUAACUACGUGCCAGCAGCCGCGGUAAUACGUAGGUCCCGAGCGUUGUCCGGAUUUAUUGGGCGUAAAGCGAGCGCAGGCGGUCAAUUAAGUCUGAUGUGAAAGCCCCCGGCUCAACCGGGGAGGGUCAAUGGAAACUGGUUGACUUGAGUGCAGAGGAGGAGAGUGGAAUUCCAUGUGUAGCGGUGAAAUGCGUAGAUAUAUGGAGGAACACCAGUGGCAAAGGCGACUCUCUGGUCUGUAACUGACGCUGAGGUUCGAAAGCGUGGGUAGCAAACAGG